AUUGAACGCUGGCGGCAGGCCUAACACAUGCAAGUCGAGCGGAUGAAGGGAGCUUGCUCCUGGAUUCAGCGGCGGACGGGUGGGUAAUGCCUAGGAAUCUGCCUGGUAGUGGGGGAUAACGUCCGGAAACGGGCGCUAAUACCGCAUACGUCCUGAGGGAGAAAGUGGGGGAUCUUCGGACCUCACGCUAUCAGAUGAGCCUAGGUCGGAUUAGCUAGUUGGUGGGGUAAAGGCCUACCAAGGCGACGAUCCGUAACUGGUCUGAGAGGAUGAUCAGUCACACUGGAACUGAGACACGGUCCAGACUCCUACGGGAGGCAGCAGUGGGGAAUAUUGGACAAUGGGCGAAAGCCUGAUCCAGCCAUACCGCGUGUGUGAAGAAGGUCUUCGGAUUGUAAAGCACUUUAAGUUGGGAGGAAGGGCAGUAAGUUAAUACCUUGCUGUUUUGACGUUACCAACAGAAUAAGCACCGGCUAACUUCGUG
rnacentral:rRNA from 1 species